rnacentral:rRNA from 1 species
CAGUCGCCACGGUAAUACGUAGGGUGCAAGCGUUAAUCGGAAUUACUGGGCGUAAAGCGUGCGCAGGCGGUUUUGUAAGACAGAGGUGAAAUCCCCGGUCUCAACCUGGGAACUGCCUUUGUGACUGCAAGGCUAGAGUACGGCAGAGGGGGAUGGAAUUCCGCGUGUAGCAGUGAAAUGCGUAGAUAUGCGGAGGAACACCGAUGGCGAAGGCAAUCCCCUGGGCCUGUACUGACGCUCAUGCACGAAAGCGUGGGGAGCAAACAGGAUUAGAUACCCCGGUAGUCCCUGUCUCUUAUAC